rnacentral:rRNA from 1 species
UCUGUGAUGCCCUUAGAUGUUCUGGGCUGCACGCGCGCUACACUGACAAAGGCAGCGAGUAUACCUUGGCCGAGAGGUCUGGGAAAUCUUGUUAAACUUUGUCGUGCUGGGGAUAGAUCAUUGCAAUUAUUGGUCUUGAACGAGGAAUUCCUAGUAAGCGCAAGUCAUCAGCUUGCGUUGAUUACGUCCCUGCCCUUUGUACACACCGCCCGUCGCUACUACCGAUUGAAUGGCUUAGUGAGGCCUUUGGAUUCGUCCUGGUCGCAAGAUCAGGAUGUGAGAAAUUGGACAAACUUGGUCAUUUAGAGGAAGUAA